GGAGAAAAGCAGGGGAUCGCAAGACCUUGCGCUUUUAGAGCGGCCGAUGCCUGAUUAGCUUGUUGGUGAGGUAAAAGCUCACCAAGGCUUCGAUCAGUAGCUGGUCUGAGAGGACGACCAGCCACACUGGGACUGAGACACGGCCCAGACUCCUACGGGAGGCAGCAGUGGGGAAUUUUGGACAAUGGGGGCAACCCUGAUCCAGCCAUGCCGCGUGAGUGAAGAAGGCCUUCGGGUUGUAAAGCUCUUUCAGCCGGAACGAAACGGUCACGGCUAAUACCUGUGACUACUGACGGUACCGGAAGAGGAAGCACCGGCUAACUACGUGCCAGCAGCCGCGGUAAUACGUAGGGUGCGAGCGUUAAUCGGAAUUACUGGGCGUAAAGCGUGCGCAGGUGGUUUUGUAAGUCAGAUGUGAAAUCCCCGGGCUUAACCUGGGAACUGCGUUUGAAACUACAAAGCUA
rnacentral:rRNA from 1 species